rnacentral:rRNA from 1 species
AGAGUUUGAUUCUGGCUCAGAACGAACGCUGGCGGCGUGGAUAAGACAUGCAAGUCGAACGGGAGAAUUGCUAGCUUGCUAAUAAUUCUCUAGUGGCGCACGGGUGAGUAACACGUGAGUAACCUGCCUCUUAGUGGGGGAUAGCCCUGGGAAACCGGGAUUAAUACCGCAUACGAUUGAAAGAUCAAAGCAGCAAUGCGCUAGGAGAUGGGCUCGCGGCCUAUUAGUUAGUUGGUGAGGUAACGGCUCACCAAGGCGAUGACGGGUAGCCGGUCUGAGAGGAUGUCCGGCCACACUGGAACUGAGACACGGUCCAGACACCUACGGGUGGCAGCAGUCGAGAAUCAUUCACAAUGGGGGCAACCCUGAUGGUGCGACGCCGCGUGGGGGAAUGAAGGUCUUCGGAUUGUAAACCCCUGUCAUGUGGGAGCAAAUUAAAAAGAUAGUACCACAAGAGGAAGAGACGGCUAACUCUGUGCCAGCAGCCGCGGUAAUACAGAGGUCUCAAGCGUUGUUCGGAAUCACUGGGCGUAAAGCGUGCGUAGGCUGUUUCGUAAGUCGUGUGUGAAAGGCAGGGGCUCAACCCCUGGAUUGCACAUGAUACUGCGAGACUAGAGUAAUGGAGGGGGAACCGGAAUUCUCGGUGUAGCAGUGAAAUGCGUAGAUAUCGAGAGGAACACUCGUGGCGAAGGCGGGUUCCUGGACAUUAACUGACGCUGAGGCACGAAGGCCAGGGGAGCGAAAGGGAUUAGAUACCCCUGUAGUCCUGGCAGUAAACGGUGCACGCUUGGUGUGCGGGGAAUCGACCCCCUGCGUGCCGGAGCUAACGCGUUAAGCGUGCCGCCUGGGGAGUACGGUCGCAAGAUUAAAACUCAAAGAAAUUGACGGGGACCCGCACAAGCGGUGGAGUAUGUGGCUUAAUUCGAUGCAACGCGAAGAACCUUACCUGGGCUUGACAUGUAAUGAACAACAUGUGAAAGCAUGCGACUCUUCGGAGGCGUUACACAGGUGCUGCAUGGCCGUCGUCAGCUCGUGUCGUGAGAUGUUUGGUUAAGUCCAGCAACGAGCGCAACCCC